rnacentral:lncRNA from 1 species
UUGUUGCAUUGCUGAAUUAAUUGUGUUUUCUCAUUUUUUGUUAAUUUUUUUUUCUUUUCUAUUGAGUUUAACAUGGCUGGCCAAAGAACUCUGAGAGAACUUGUUGCCCUUGAUGUUGAUUAUAAUGCUUUGUGUAUUGAAUAUGAUGUUGCUGUCAAAACCUUGAUUGGGAACAUGUCACUUAACUCCCAACAGUUCACAACAAGGGAUAAUUUUGCGGUCCAAGCAAAAGGUGUGAAUGAGAUUCAGGUUCUUUCUUCCAAUAAAGCUCUAGAAACCAGAAUUGAU